CCCGGCUCACGUGGCAGUAAUGCGUGUGUGUCUGGGCGAGAAGUGAAGCGCGCGCCCGACAAUAACACAGAGAAGUUGUGCGCGUAUGUUUAUGAGUCGUAACCGGGACUUCAGUUACUAUUAUUUUUGUCUUUCGGGAGUUUUAACGGCGGACAAAUCCAGGAGUCCAGAAACAGCAAACGCGUGCUGUCAUUAACCGCAACUUUCCACCCGCACACGUGGUUCCUGCACGCGAGGCUUCUCAAGCCAUUUAUACACUACUGAUUAGAGGAGGAUCCCAUCCUCAGGGCUUACAGAUGGAUUUCUACAUAGAAUAACAGCGUUGGCCGUGUUGACUAGCGACAAGAUCAAACCCAAACAGCCACCGAGUGACCGUUUGGUUGCGUGAUCAACCGGAGCAUGUCGAGCGGAGACAGCUACCAGGAUGGAGAAGAGAACGGUUCUGCUGAUCCGAGCCGCACAGAGAGAGGACGUCCGGUGGAGCAGGUCGACCGGGCGGUAGAACCGACAGGCUGCAGUGGUGCAUCCUGCUCCGGAAUGCCGUCGGGAUCUGGAGAGGACGAGGAGGGGGACGAGCGGCAAGAAAGACUGCGUGUGGCCGAGGAGAGCGUUGGAGAACCUUCUGGAGCAGACGAAGGUCACACUAGCAUUCAGGGAACACGACGGCAUGCGUCUUUAGCUGAUGGGAGUCUUGGGAGCACCACGGGAUCAGGAAGCACCAAGAGCUCAGAGUCUGUGACCGGCUCUUCCUCCUGCAGCCUUCGCAGCACAGGAUGUGGUCAGAGCAGACACCACACAGACUGCAGUGUCAGUGAACAAGCAGAGCAGGGACAAGGCCACACCCACCAGGAGAUGAUGCAGACUGUGCAGGAGAUGAAGAAGAGGCUGCCGUCAGAGAAGAGGAGUCGCAGCAAACCCAGAACUGUGGAGGCUCUGAACUAUGCCCUUAACUGUGUUAAACAAGUGCAAGCGAACAGCGAGUACUACAAGUUACUGAUGUGCAACGGACUGGAAAAGAGAAAGGACGCGAAGGUGUGCAGCCUGGAGCGGCUGGAGAGCAGCACGUCCGAACACACUCUGAAAAACACAGACACGUUUGUGGUGGUGUUCUCGCUGGCGACGGGUCGGGUGGUGUACGCGUCGGAGCAGGCCUCCAGCAUCCUCAACUGCAAGCGCAAGUUCCUCGACUCGGCCAAGUUCGUAGAGCUGCUGUUUCACCAAGACGUCAACGUGUUUUACUCUCACACCGCACAGCCUCACCUGCCCCCCUGGAACGUGGGGACAGACAGCGACACCGUCCCUUUUGAAUGUGCCCAAGUCAAAUCCUUCUUCUGCAGAAUCAGAGGAGGGAAGGACCGCGACGGUGAGAUGCGCUACAACCCGUUCCGUAUCACACCGUACCUACUGAAAGUUCAGGGCGUGGCCGGGGAUCAGGAAGACUCCUGCUGCUUGGCUCUGGCUGAACGCAUAAUCUCAGGAUAUGAGGCGCCCCGGAUUCCCACAGACAAGCGCAUCUUCACUACGACACACUCUCCAGGGUGUGUGUUCUUAGAAGUAGAUGACCGUGCUGUGCCUUUGCUUGGCUACCUCCCUCAGGACCUGAUUGGCACGUCAGUGUUGACCUGCGUCCACCCUGAGGACCGCACCCUCAUGCUGGCCAUGCAUCGAAAAAUUCUGCAGUUCGCAGGCCAGCCCCCGUUUGAACAUUCCCCCAUUCGCUUCCGCUGUCAGAACGGAGACUACGUGACAUUAGACACCAGCUGGUCCAGCUUUGUGAACCCCUGGAGCCGUAAGGUGGCCUUCAUCAUCGGCCGCCACAAAGUCCGCACAGGGCCUCUGAAUGAGGAUGUGUUUGCUGCAAAGAGUAAAGCAGACCUUCACAUCAUGACUGAGAAUGUCAAAGAAUUGCAGGCCAUGAUCUACAAGCUCUUCCUACAGCCCGUCCACACUAACGGCUCUAGCGGUUACGGCAGCCUGGGCAGCAACGGUUCCCAUGAGCACUACAUCAGCGUGGCUUCAUCCAGUGACAGCAAUGGGAACCUGUGGGAAGAUUCACACCGAGAGGCGGUUUCCCUCCAGCAGAUACGUACUAAUGUUAAUAAAGUGAAGCGCGGGGGUCAGCGGCCGUAUCUGGAAUCUCGGAGAAAAGUCCCGACGGCCGGGAAAGGUAGCACAGCUUCACCUACUCCAGCUCCCCUCCUUCAUGAUGGUCAGCGUUUAAAGUUUCAGAAUCUCCGAGGCUCCCUCGAGGACUCACACAGGAAGCAGCCACACAUUCCGUCUUACCAGCAGAUUAACUGUGUGGACAGCAUCUUCAGGUACUUGGAGAGCUGUAGUGGCCCUGCCAUGAAGCGGAAAAGCGAAUCCUUAUCCAUCGCUACCUCGUCGUCUUCUACCACGUCGGAGGAAGACAAGACCGCUUUGUCUCCGCCGGAGGACAGGACUAAUGCCGAGGACGCGGCCAUGGAUGCGAGUGCUGGUCAGGAGAGCCAGGUUUCAGCCGGAUCCGCCGUGACCAUCGCACACACGACGGCAGCGGUUGUCGGAGCUCCGCUAACCGACAUCACUAUGUCUACUAAAGCUAUGAGUGUGGUGUCGUUGACCAGCCAGUGCAGCUACAGCAGCACCAUCGUGCACGUUCCUCAGCCUGAAUCUGAAGACGCACCUAUGGGAAGCGAACUGGCCGACCCGGCUCCUGCACCGUCGCGCCCGGCCGCCGGCUCCUCCACCACGACUCCUGAGGAGUUUCACCCUGUGGGCCUGACGAAGGAGGUGCUGUCUGCACACACACAGAAAGAGGAGCAGGAGUACGUGGACCGCUUCAGGCAUCGCAUCCUGGAGAGCCCAUAUAGCUCGUACCUCCAACAGGACGACAGCAGCAUGGCGCACUCCAACCACAGAGGUGAUUGCGCCAUAAGGCCCCUGAGCACAAGAGAUUGGAACCGAUCCCAUUCAGGCAAACCCAGACACAAGCGUGCAAAGCCUCAAGCCUCGUCCGACAGUGACGGCUCACGGCCUGGACGCUUCCUGCCGAUAACUACGUCUGCACCUAAUAACUCCUCAUCCGAAUCUUCCAACCCCAAACCCCACAUUUUUUCACCCAUGCUGAUGCCUGUCCAGCCGCCUUAUUACCCCGUAACACCUCAACCUAUUGCCAUGCAGCCACCUGGCGUGUCUGUGGUGCUACCCCCUGAACACACGCAGCCGUUAAUGCAAUUCAUGAAUCCUUUCAUGUCCCCCGUCAUGGCCGUCAUCAUGCCCUAUCCUGCCAGUUACACCAUCUAUCCCCAGGCAAUUCCAGGCAUGGCAGGUGUACCAGGUGUAACUCCAUGUGGAUUAGUGCCUCCACCGGCUCCUCAGCCUUCCUUUAUGUCUCUGAUGGAAAAUCCACCUGCUCCGAAUGGCCCAAGCUUAAUGCCUUCAUCCUCUGGAGCGUUGCCGUCUUCGCCGAUCUCUUCCUCGUGGCCGGAAGACGACAUGGAUGGCGCUCAGCCCACAGCACUGUUUUCCAGUUCCAGGUCGAGCAGUCCGCUACAGCUCAACCUGCUGCAGGAGGAGCUGCCCAAGCCGAACGCCUCGCAGGACAACGCGGGUCGAGCUGAAAGCCUGCGUGAGCAGCAUACCAAGGAGGACGCUCCAAGUGAUUCAGGGAAUCAGGAUGCUCAGUCCACCUCUAGUGUGCUGCUGGACCUGCUGCUGCACGAGGACGCUCGCUCCGGAACUGGCUCCAAUGCCUCGGGUAGUGGUUCUGGAGAGUCCGGGGCUUCUCUGGGUUCGGGUUCAGGUCUGGGCUCCAAUGGUACCUCCACAAGCCAUACAGGCAGCAGCAACAGCAGCAAGUACUUUGCCAGCAAUGACUCUUCAGACAUGUCCCGUAAGACCAGGAAGAACCAGGACGCGCCGGAGCUCUCCAGCUUCGACAAGCGUGAGGAGGACUCCCUGUGGACCAUGAUCCAGUGCACACCAGAGCCGGUCAUGAUGACCUAUCAGAUCUAUCCCAGGGGAAAGUGUUUAGCGCUGCCAGUCACACUCGCCGAGGUAGUUCUCUCCAUGGUAGUUGUCUCAUUGCACUGUCCACCCUGUUUCCCCUGAGGUAGGUGAAUCUAGGUGACGGUUUACAAUGAGACCACCGCUAAUCAGCUGGCUGAGGUGACUUACGUAGCACAGUUUGUGGAUGGAGAUAUAGACGGACUGAAGCUGAAGCUCACUGAGCACCUUCCUUUUCUGACUCUAAGCUGGAAGUCGAAUCUGAAUAUUUACCUUAUGCAGGCAAAAAGUGCGUGUUUGUUUAGGGAUGAGUGUGUGUGCGUGUGUGUGUGUGUGUGUGUGUGUGUGACCAUGGGCAUUGUUUUAUGUGUCUACACCUGUGUACAGGGACCAGGCACAGGUUCUGAAAGAGGACCGUGAGAAGCUGCUCCUCCUGCAGCCCAUGCAGCCGUGGUUCACUCAGGAGCAGAAGGAGGAGCUGGCUGAGGUUCAUUCCUGGAUCCAGUAUCACCGUGUACCAGAGGAGAUAAACACACAUGGAUGUCUGAGCUGUAACCCCACUGCUAUGGAAGCGAGUGGCACGGCGACGCCCUGUCCCAGUCUGCCAACACCAGACAGCUCAACCGCUCAGGAUUGUCCCACAGAGGACGUCAACCACGUCUCUGACACCUGAAGCGGCUUCUCUUAGCACUUCCAGUUAAAAAACUUUUCACUGAGCUGGACCAUCUUUACCGGUCACGGUAUGGGGAGGGGCAGGAUAGAGGCGGAGCUUGUGUCACGUCAGUGCCAUUAGAGGACGUGACGUGACAGGAGAGUCUGGCGCCUGAAAACCCGCUCGAACCACCAUGAGAGACUGACCUGUGUCGGUGUUGAACAUUGGAACCACUCAACUGUGAAUGUUGUGUAAUUUAUAUCAGUAUUGAUUUCUUCGAUUCUUACGGUUUGGGUUUCACUGUGUGUUUUAUAUGAAGACGUGACCCUCGGCCUCCGAGCGGUCAGUGUUUGUACGCCGUGUUUCUCCUGACGAACAUAAAUGAGCACCUUGUCAACUAAAAUCGAAUUGCACUGUAUAUCGAUGCUCUAAGCUGUGAUUAUAUUUUUAUUCUUU